rnacentral:misc_RNA from 1 species
GAAAUGCGAUAAGUAAUGUGAAUUGCAGAAUUCAGUGAAUCAUCGAAUCUUUGAACGCACAUUGCGCCCGUCAGUAUUCUGGCGGGCAUGCCUGUUCGAGCGUCAUUACGCCCCUCAAGUCCCCUGUGGACUUGGUGUUGGGGAUCGGCGAGGCUGGUUUUCCAGCACAGCCGUCCCUUAAAUUAAUUGGCGGUCUCGCCGUGGCCCUCCUCUGCGCAGUAGUAAAACACUCGCAACAGGAGCCCGGCGCGGUCCACUGCCGUAAAACCCCCCAACUUUUUAUAGUUGACCUCGAAUCAGGUAGGACUACCCGCUGAACUUAA